UCACCAUUGGGUGAUUUAUAUAGGGUGUCUUUAAAAUUUGCUGUGAGGAGCACUAUUUAGAGCGUCCUUGUCAAGUAAACUAUGAAGUUUUCCAGGUAAGGGGAGCUAGGUCUUUCUUUUCUUUAAAUUGCAAUUGUAGAAUAAAAUAUUGUGUAGACUGUGUUGUGGUACUGUGGCAUUGGUUGAGUUGCAUGUUUUAUAAUAACUAACUGGGAAUAUGUUAAUUAUUGUUUAGGAAUAAAUUGGGGGAAACUUUUUUGCUGUAAUUAAAUUAGUUGAGGGGGUGGGAAUUCUUGCAUGGUUUUAUUUAUGUAUCAAAAUGGAAAAGGUUAAGAGAGAGAAGAUGUUGUAUAGAAAAGUAAUUGGAAUAAAGAAAAGUUUUAUGCAUGGGAUUUUCUAGAUUGAGAAUGAAACCGUGAAGGGUUGGGAAUGAAUGGGUCUUUUAGGAUAAUAGUAGAGUGUUAAUGUGAGAAGGGUUUCCUUUAGAGAGAGGUGAGGAAAGUUGUUUGUAGAGGGGAUUAGCUUUCUCUCAUAAUGCAUGGGAAGAAGAAGUUUUACUUGGAAUGUGCUAUGAUUCACGUAAAGGGUUGUUAGGAAGAAGAAUGUUUUUGUUUGGGUAGCAGUAUGAAUUGAGAUACAGAGGGGUAUUAAACAAAAAGAGUAGAGGAUGGUAGCAUGGGAGGGUUCUGGUAUUUUAUUUUAGUGUUAAUUAGAAAAGGGAGUGAGUAAAAUGAGAAGAGGAAGGGGUUGUUAUAGUAGUGUUGUUUGGAAUAAAUGAAUGAAAUAAAAAUGAAGAGAAGUGCAGGGUAGGAGAUGUGAAAAUUAGAAUGAAAGAGGGAGAGUUGUGCUUUUAUGAAAGAGAAGAGUAAAACUAAAGAAAAUAAAGAAGAGUUGGAAGUACUGUAAGUUAGAAAAAAAAAAAAAGAAGAAAAGUUGGUGAGAGAAGAUGAGAGCUACAUUUAAGUCUUGAUUAAAAAUGGGACCCACGGGUUAGGUAGAAAAGGAAAGAGUUUAAUAAAAAAAAAGGUGCAGAGGUUAAGUUUCCUUUAACAAUUUUUAUUAGAUUUUAUAUUAGUUUAAAUGAAAGAAGAAAGAUUAGAGAUGAAAAGAAAAGUUAAUAUGAGUUUGCCUUAAAAUGAAGAAGAGAGAUGUAGGCUUUUGGUGUUUAAAAGUUACAGUAGGUAACUAUUCUUGGAAGUUGGAUAUUUAUUUUAGUUUUUCCCACUUCAAUAUUUCUUUCAGUUUCUUUGUUAUAUAUAUAUAUAUAUAUAUAUAUAUAUAUAUAUAUAUAUAUAUAUAUAUAUAUAUAUAUUUAAUUAUUGUCUUUAUCUUUUAACACUUCGAGCAUGAAUUAAACAUUUCAGAGUGAGAUGUGUUGGAGUGGUUGUAGAGAUGGUGUUGUUGUCUGUAUAAUGUUGGGAGCUUUGAAAUGGUAUAUCUAUCCCUACACUUAAAGCAUUGUUCAUACUCAAAUAGAGAAGAACAGUGUGAGUGGUGAGAGUAGAGGGAGGUCCUCGUCUAUGGUCUUGGAGUUUAGACAUAGAAAAAUUGGGGGAUUUACCUUGCAUAGUGUUGGGAUGGGCCAGUUGAACUAUGUAAGUGCAAAGACGACCAAUAGCUAGACAGUUAUACCAAAUCCGGAUGAGUCGCGUUGAGUAUUUGAUGCAUGGUUUUGUUGGUAUGCCUUGCUUAUUCUUUUAUAUGUAAUUAAGCAUGAUGACAUUGAUUGACUGUACGAUAUGUAUGUUGUUUGUUUACCUAGCUCACCCUUACUUUUGUGUUGUAUGUUGCUUGGGUAUGCUUUCUCUUGUGAUGAUCAUCCCCUUGGAUGAGAGCAGAUGUUGUUGAGGAGGUUCCAUUGGAGCAAGUGCUGGAGGACGCUGACGCUGCAGCCUAGUUCUCUCUAGGAUUCCACCUAUUUAUUCUAUGUUACUGUUGAGACGCUUAUUAGAUUAUUUUGAAAUACUUUGUUGUGGUUAAGAGUUUUAAACUAGGCCAUUC
rnacentral:lncRNA from 1 species